CCGGGGGUGCCUAUACAUGCAAGUCGAACGCUUUGUGGUUCAACUGAUUUGAAGAGCUUGCUCAGAUAUGACGAUGGACAUUGCAAAGAGUGGCGAACGGGUGAGUAACACGUGGGAAACCUACCUCUUAGCAGGGGAUAACAUUUGGAAACAGAUGCUAAUACCGUAUAACAAUAGCAACCGCAUGGUUGCUACUUAAAAGAUGGUUCUGCUAUCACUAAGAGAUGGUCCCGCGGUGCAUUAGUUAGUUGGUGAGGUAAUGGCUCACCAAGACGAUGAUGCAUAGCCGAGUUGAGAGACUGAUCGGCCACAAUGGGACUGAGACACGGCCCAUACUCCUACGGGAGGCAGCAGUAGGGAAUCUUCCACAAUGGGCGAAAGCCUGAUGGAGCAACGCCGCGUGUGUGAUGAAGGGUUUCGGCUCGUAAAACACUGUUGUAAGAGAAGAAUGACAUUGAGAGUAACUGUUCAAUGUGUGACGGUAUCUUACCAGAAAGGAACGGCUAAAUACGUGCCAGCAGCCGCGGUAAUACGUAUGUUCCAAGCGUUAUCCGGAUUUAUUGGGCGUAAAGCGAGCGCAGACGGUUAUUUAAGUCUGAAGUGAAAGCCCUCAGCUCAACUGAGGAAUUGCUUUGGAAACUGGAUGACUUGAGUGCAGUAGAGGAAAGUGGAACUCCAUGUGUAGCGGUGAAAUGCGUAGAUAUAUGGAAGAACACCAGUGGCGAAGGCGGCUUUCUGGACUGUAACUGACGUUGAGGCUCGAAAGUGUGGGUAGCAAACAGGAUUAGAUACCCUGGUAGUCCACACCGUAAACGAUGAGUGCUAGGUGUUUGAGGGUUUCCGCCCUUAAGUGCCGCAGCUAACGCAUUAAGCACUCCGCCUGGGGAGUACGACCGCAAGGUUGAACUCAAAGGAAUUGACGGGACCCGCACAAGCGGUGGAGCAUGUGGUUUAAUUCGAAGCACGCGAGAUCUUACAGUCUUGACAUCCCUUGACACUCAGAGAUGGAGCGUUCCUUCGGGACAGGUGACAGUGGUGCAUGGUUGUCGUCAGCUCGUGUCGUGAG
rnacentral:rRNA from 1 species